ensembl:lncRNA
UGACACUUGGCAAUAAUAUAUAAAAUAUCUAUAAGAAUAGAGGGUACAUGUGAAUCAUUGCUGUCACUAUGACUUUAGCAUCAUUUUUCCAAAAUUUUUAGCAAUGAGCCACAACAUGAAAUACUUCUACUGCAAUUCAGUUUGUACAGAUGCAAGCAACACAUAAAUGUAUAUAUAAUUAAGAGAAAAAGAAAGGUGUCCUUACUAAUGUUGAUGCCUUUUGAUGUUUUUUUUCUGAUCUGUUCGAUUCCACUUUGUUCUAUUCCAUUAAAUUAUUUUCAAAACACUGUUCUUGACCAACAAAAGUAUUUUACUAUCCAUUAAGGCAUCACAAUCUGCAAUUUAAAGAAUUUUAUAUGUAUAUAACAAAAUUCACAUAUUUAUACACAUAGGUACACACAAUUAUAUACAUAUAUACAUAUGCACAGACAUAUACCAAGUAUAUCUAUAUACAUAUGUGUAUAUAUUAAUAUAGGAGAGCUCGAUAAUCUUGUAUACUCACCACAAAAUUUUGCAUAUAAAAAAGAUGAAUUGAUCGACAAUUUGAGUAAUAAUCAGUUUUAAAGACUAAAAUUUGGGUGGGGGAAAUGGUUUUCUUUAUUGUUUUAUUUAAAUUCUUGCUUUACUCAACAUUCCCCCCCCCCCACCUUUCCUAUUGUCCAUACAUAUGCCCUACUUUUCAGAGACACGUGAAGAUGAUGAGGGUAACAGUGAUACUGAUAAUAUUGUCCGCUUCCAUCUGGACAAUCAUCUCUCAUUUCUCAGAGCCGUAAGCUCAGUGGAAAAUUGGGCUUUUCAUUCAAUGAAAUUGCUUUUCACCUAAUUCCCGCGGUGCGAUGGGAAGGUGCAGAGAGCUGUAGUGGGAGACAUUCGCCUUAAUAAGCACCUCCGUAAAAUGAGUUGCUCCUGUCUUCCUUGCAACAGCUACUGGACUCUGAAUAACUGCCACUUUUGGGCAUAGGUAAGCGGUAUUAUUGCACAACCUUGAAUCUAUUACAUUUAAGAAGUUCUCAUUUGUUUUUUGGUUGACCUGAAGCUGCAUGGUUUAGCUCUCUGUGUAUAUUUUCCAUAGCAAAAUAGGUUUUCCCUCAUUCAGAUACACAGCGAGUUUCCCUAAAGAGAGGUUUUGCCCUUUUGGGUAUUAAGACUUUAAAAUUUAGCAUGAGAAAAACAUAACUUGAGUGAAAACAUAGAUUUUCUGGGGGAAUACUUAAGUUUUCUGCUUUUAAUUUUUACCAUGUUUUACCUUCACCACUCUUGCUUAUCCUCCCUCUUUUUCCCACUGCCAUCAUACUUCUCUCCAGAACAUACUUAGGAAACAAUAAUCCUCAUUACUAGUUCUCAUGUUAGCUAGGGGAUGAGCCAAGGUUACCUUCCUGGUAUAAUGACUGAUGGUUUUACUUAUCCACUAGACAGUAGUUUACAGAUUUUUGGGAAUCUUAUUUAAUUUUCACAGGACAUACAUUUUUUUAAAAUUUUUAUUUAUUUAUGAUAGUCACAAGAGAGAGAGAAAGAGAGAGAGAGGCAGAGACAUAGGCAGAGGGAGAAGCAGGCUCCAUGCACCGGGAGCCCGACGUGGGAUUCGAUCCCGGGUCUCCAGGAUCGCGCCCUGGGCCAAAGGCGUGUGCUAAACCGCUGCACCACCCAGUGAUCCCCAUUGACAGGACAUACAUUAAUCAAAGCCUUGUUCUUAAAGCCUUUGGGUUAAUGUGUGUCAACAUGUGAGAAUGUACAUCUGCUUUGGGCCCUUUUAAAAUUUUUGUU